CAGUCGCCGCGGUAAAACGUAGGUGGCAAGCGUUGUCCGGAAUUAUUGGGCGUAAAGGGCUCGCAGGCGGUUUCUUAAGUCUGAUGUGAAAGCCCCCGGCUCAACCGGGGAGGGUCAUUGGAAACUGGGAAACUUGAGUGCAGAAGAGGAGAGUGGAAUUCCACGUGUAGCGGUGAAAUGCGUAGAGAUGUGGAGGAACACCAGUGGCGAAGGCGACUCUCUGGUCUGUAACUGACGCUGAGGAGCGAAAGCGUGGGGAGCGAACAGGAUUAGAGACCCCUGUAGUCCCUGUCUCUUAUAC
rnacentral:rRNA from 1 species